rnacentral:misc_RNA from 1 species
GAUGAAGAACGCAGCGAAAUGCGAUACUUGGUGUGAAUUGCAGAAUCCCGUGAACCAUCGAGUCUUUGAACGCAAGUUGCGCCCGAAGCCAUUAGGCCGAGGGCACGCCUGCCUGGGUGUCACACACCGUUACCCUCGCGCCAACGUCCAUCGUUGGCCGCGGCGCGGGGCGUGUGCUGACCUCCCGCGAGCGGGGUCUCGUGGUUGGUUGAAAAUCGAGUUCGCGGUCGAGGGUGCCGUGAUGAAAUGGUGGAUGGGCGACGCCCGAGGCCAAUCACGCGCGACUCUAUCCGGCUCGGACUCCUGGACCCCUUCGGCGUCUCCGGACGCUCUUUGGCGAGACCUCAGGUCAGGCGGGGCUACCCGCUGAGUUUAAGCAUAUCAAUAAGCGGAGGA